rnacentral:rRNA from 1 species
AGGGCGCGUAGGCGGGUUUGUAAGUCGAUUGUGAAAUCCCCGAGCUUAACUCGGGAACUGCAGUCGAAACUGCAAAUCUUGAAUGCCUAAGAGGUUAGUGGAAUUCCUGGUGUAGGAGUGAAAUCCGUAGAUAUCAGGAGGAACACCGGAGGCGAAGGCGGCUAACUGGUGGUGCAUUGACGCUGAAGCGCGAAAGCGUGGGGAGCAAACAGGAUUAGAUACCCUGGUAGUCCACGCUGUAAACGAUGAAUACUAGGUGUUUGGGGAAUUAACCCCCUGAGUACUGAAGCUAACGCAUUAAGUAUUCCGCCUGGGGAGUACGGUCGCAAGGUUAAAACUCAAAAGGAAUUGACGGGGACCCGCACAAGCGGUGGAUGAUGUGGAUUAAUUCGAUGCAACGCGG